UACGUAGGGGGCGAGCGUUGUCCGGAAUUACUGGGCGUAAAGCGCGCGCAGGCGGCUUGUUAAGUCAGGUGUCAAAAUGCGGGGCUCAACCCCGUAUCGCACUUGAAACUGGCAGGCUUGAGUGCAGGAGAGGGAAGUGGAAUUCCUAGUGUAGCGGUGAAAUGCGUAGAUAUUAGGAGGAACACCAGUGGCGAAGGCGACUUCCUGGACUGUAACUGACGCUGAGGCGCGAAAGCUAGGGGAGCAAACA
rnacentral:rRNA from 1 species